AUGCGCGCGCUGUCUCUACGUUCUUUCUCAUGGAUGGAUUCUGCUGGCUAUAUAGGUGCGUCACUCCCUUGCUAUGCGCUCGUUAAAUAUACGUCCUUGAGGGAUUUUCCUACCGAUCGGCUCGAUCUUGCUUCUACUACUCGAUCCAUUGAUACGAUGGUGAAGACGAGGACUGGUGGCGUCGGGCCGUGCGCGCUUCUCGCUCUGGUCCUCCUCCUCGCCGGCAGCUGCGUCAGCGUGCAAGCGGCGGACGAGCAGGCGACGAGCGGCGGUGGCAGAAGGAGAAGGCCGCAUCGACGUUCCGCGGCGUCGGUCGCGGACAUGAUGGUGCCUAUCACCUUCCUCAACGCCUCCGUCGACAAGGGCGCCGUGUGCAUGGAUGGGACGCCGGCCGCUUACCACCUGGACCGGGGCUCCGGGGCAGGGAGCAAGAGCUGGAUCGUCAACCUCGAGGGAGGCGGGUGGUGCAACAACGCGAGGACGUGCAGGUUCCGGACAAGGACCCACCAUGGCUCGUCCAACUUCAUGGAGCGGCAGAUCAGCUUCACCGGCAUCAUGAGCGCCAGCCCCGCCGAGAAUCCUGAUUUCUACAACUGGAACCGGGUGAAGAUCCGCUACUGCGACAGCGCCUCCUUUGCCGGCGACACCUUCGACAAGGCUACUGGGCUCUACUUCCGGGGGCAGAGGAUUUGGGAGGAAGCCAUCCAGCACCUCCUCUCCAUCGGGAUGGCGUCGGCCGACCGGGCGCUUCUCACGGGCUGCUCCGCCGGGGGGCUGGCGGCGAUACUGCACUGCGACCAGUUCGGCGCCUUCUUCGCCGGCCGAGGCACCACCGUCAAGUGCCUCGCCGACGCAGGCCUCUUCCUCGACGCCGUGGAUGUCUCCGGGGGCCGUAGCUUGAGAUCCUACUACGGCGACAUUGUGGCCAUGCAGGGAGUGGCUCCGCACCUUCCGCCCACCUGCACCGAUCACCUCGACGCCACCUCGUGCUUCUUCCCUCAGGAUAUCAUCGACAGCAUCAAGACGCCCAUCUUCUUGCUCAACGCAGCCUACGACGUCUGGCAGAUUGAGGAAAGCCUGGCCCCAAGCAAAGCUGACCCCAGCCGCGCCUGGCGAGCCUGCAAGUUCAACCGCUCGGCUUGCAAUGCGUCUCAGAUAAACUUCCUGCAAGGUUUCAGAGAUCAGAUGGUAGCAUCCGUGAGAGGCUUCUCCAGUUCCAAGAGCAACGGGCUCUUCAUAAACUCGUGUUUCGCCCACUGCCAGUCCGAACUGCCGGCCACCUGGAAUGGCACCCCUGCCAUUCAGAACAAGAGGAUCGCAAAAUCUGUCGGCGAUUGGUACUUUGGCCGGGCCGAAGUGAAGGCGAUCGAUUGCCCAUACCCCUGCGACAACACAUGCCGCAACAUCAUAUAA
rnacentral:rRNA from 1 species